CGUAGGUGGCAAGCGUUGUCCGGAAUUAUUGGGCGUAAAGCGCGCGCAGGCGGUUUCUUAAGUCUGAUGUGAAAGCCCCCGGCUCAACCGGGGAGGGUCAUUGGAAACUGGGAGACUUGAGUACAGAAGAGAAGAGCGGAAUUCCACGUGUAGCGGUGAAAUGCGUAGAGAUGUGGAGGAACACCAGUGGCGAAGGCGGCUCUUUGGUCUGUAACUGACGCUGAGGCGCGAAAGCGUGGGGAGCAAACAGGAUUAGAUACCCUGGUAGUCCACGCCGUAAACGGUGAGUGCUAAGUGUUAGAGGGUUUCCGCCCUUUAGUGCUGCAGCUAACGCAUUAAGCACUCCGCCUGGGGAGUACGGCCGCAAGGCUG
rnacentral:rRNA from 1 species